rnacentral:lncRNA from 1 species
CUUUAGUAGAAUGCAUCAAUGAAAAACAAGCACUGAGACACCAUAAAAUAGAAUAAGGGCUGCUUUUCAAAAGAAUACUCUGUGCAUGUAGGUAAUGCAUAGUAUUUACCCAAGACUGAGCAGUGACCCAGCAGUGAAAGCUGGUGCAAUUUAGUGCCCUACCAAUGUGCCCCAUGAUAAGCACAGCUGACAAGUGUUCCACUGCAUAAUAUUGGUCCAAGACUCAGACUUCUUCCAGUUGAAUUAUUUCUGAGAAUUCCAUCACAGUGAGCAAAAAGAAAUUAUCUUCAGAUAAAUAAUGGAUAUUGAGUCUGUGCCAGGCAGUCCGUUGGGAUCUGGGGCUCUGUGGCCUGACAACAGAGCUCAGUGAUUCAUCGCUUUUUAUGGCACCACAACAAGCUGCUGUAGAUUUGUUUGUGAUCCAUUUCAGCUUUCUGUUGA